UGGAGAUAAAGUGAGAUGUCUAACAUUAUGGAGAUAAAGUGAGAUGUCUAACAUGGAGAUAAAGUGAGAUGUCUAACAUGGAGAUAAAGUGAGAUAUUUAACAUGGAGAUAAAGUGAGAUGUCUAACAUUAUGGAGAUAAAGUGAGAUGUCUAACAGUAUAAAGUUGUACGUCCUCUGUGUGUUUCCUCAGUUUCUCCUUGUUGACGGAGCCGGCCGGUCGUGCUGCUUUCAGUGCAUAAUGAGCAUAAAGAGCAUAAAGGUUAUAGCUCACGGCUAAAUACAACGUCACCAUAUGAACUCAUUUCAUUUCUCACUGGAAAUAAGUAACAUUCCUGAAUGAAGUUUAUAGAGAAUGUUUCCAAUAGAAUUACAAUCGAUCAAUAACCCAAGAGAAUCAAUUUAAAUUUUAGCGUCGGAGAAUUUAAUAGUCAUUAUAGUUCUAAUUAUUUGACUCGUUUUUUUUUCUGUAUUCGCAAUGUUAAGAACUCAGUUAAAUACAGCGUGAAAUACUCCAACAGGCUUAAUAUUCUAUUUAUUUAUUUUUUUGCAAUAAAUGCUAAUCCUCUGCAAUGUUUAUUUUACUCUGGUGUGUACCUUUUGAAUCAUCGUGUUGGAGGUUGGCCACCUCAGUCUCCAGCUCUGAUUGGACGAGAGCCGGAGACGUCUCACCGAGAGCCUUCCACGGAGGAAGAUCACCCAGAUGCCGGCCCGGAGCUCAGAACCCGGAGCUCAGACCCGUUCUCAGGACUCUCCCUGCAACCCGGAGGUCAUGCUUCCCCGGGUGGGGUCACGCUUCCUGGUCCGGAUGCAGAACCUCCUGGAGCCGCUCUUCCAGGGCCGGAACCAGGUGGUUACCAACACCGUGAGCGCAGGAGUCCUGAUGGGGAUCGGCGACAUUAUACAGCAGAGCUGGAAGAAUUACCAGAAUCCAGACCGAGUCCAGGACUGGAUGAGGACAGGCCGCAUGGUGGUCGUGGGCUGCUCCUGCGGCCCUCUGCUCACCUACUGGUACGUCUGGCUGGACGGCCUCUUUGUGGGCAACGCCAUGAGGACGGUGGGCAAGAAGGUGGCGAUGGACCAGCUGUUCGCCUCGCCCUUCAUGGGCAUGUGGUACUUUGUGGGUUUGGGUCUCCUGGAGGGAAACUCUGUGUCUGACGGAUGGAAGGAGUUCACACACAAGUUCUGGGACCUUUAUAAGGUGGACUGUUGUCUUUGGCCUCCUGCUCAGACCAUCAACUUCUACUUCCUCCCUCCUAGAUUCCGUGUUGUGUACAUCAACGUGAUCACCGUGGCGUGGGACACCUACCUCGCCCACCUCAAGCACAACGAUGACAGCCACAUCGAGCUGCUCUCAGACAGCUGUGCUGUGGACGUUCAGCUCCCAUCAGCCCAACCUGUGGAGGAGAAGAGCUAGAGCUCCAUGAGGAAAAGAGCUAGAGCUCCAUGAGGAAUCCUCCAUGGAGGAGAAGAACAUUCUGCUGUUGUUCAUCCUUUUAUGGACAUAAAGAUUGUGCUAACUUCUCCACAUCCGGCGUUCACGUCUCCGUCUCCUCAGAAGUGUCCUCCUUUGUUUGCGGAUCGGAGGCUGAACUUCACUACGAACACAAAGCAAACAGAGAACAGUUCAAACAUUGACUCAGAAACCUGAGGGAGUCGAUAAGCC